AUGAAUAUCAUAAGUUGGAACUGCCGAGGUGGGGGAAACACUUGGAAAGUUCGUGAUCUCGGUGCUUUGGUACAGGCACAUUCUUCCAAUAUUGUCAUGUGCGAGACACGACAAUCAAAAGAAAAAAUGAAGAGGUACCGCGCAAGAUUGGGUUUGAGGGGUUUUGAUGGUGUUGACAACGAUGGUAAUAGUGGUGGUUUGGCACUUUUUUGGCAUGAGACUCUGAGUGUUGAUGUGGUUUUUGCAAAUCAAUGA
rnacentral:rRNA from 1 species